rnacentral:rRNA from 1 species
CCUACGGGUGGCAGCAGUGGGGAAUAUUGCACAAUGGGGGAAACCCUGAUGCAGCGACGCCGCGUGAGUGAAGAAGUAUUUCGUUAUGUAACGCUCUAUCAGCAGGGAAGAAAAUAACGGUACCUGAGUAAGAAGCACCGGCUAACUACGAGCCAGCAGCCGCGGCAAUACGUAGGGAGCAAGCGUUAUACGGAUUUACUGGGUGUAAAGGGGGCGUAGACGGCAGUGCAAGUCUGGAGUGAAAGGCAGGGGCUCAACCCCCGGACUGCUGUGGAAACUGUACGGCUGGAGUGCAGGAGAGGUAAGCGGAAUUCCUAGUGUAGCGGUGAAAUGCGUAGAUAUUAGGAGGAACACCAGUGGCGAAGGCGGCUUACUGGACUGUAACUGACGUUGAGGCUCGAAAGCGUGGGGAUCAAACAGGAUUAGAUACCCUAGUAGUC